GACGAACGCUGGCGGCGUGCCUAAUACAUGCAAGUUGAGCGCUGAAGGUUGGUCCUUGUACCAACUGGAUGAGCAGCGAACGGGUGAGUAACGCGUGGGGAAUCUGCCUUUGAGCGGGGGACAACAUUUGGAAACGAAUGCUAAUACCGCAUAAAAACUUUAAACACAAGUUUUAAGUUUGAAAGAUGCAAUUGCAUCACUCAAAGAUGAUCCCGCGUUGUAUUAGCUAGUUGGUGAGGUAAAGGCUCACCAAGGCGAUGAUACAUAGCCGACCUGAGAGGGUGAUCGGCCACAGUGGGACUGAGACACGGCCCAAACUCCUACGGGAGGCAGCAGUAGGGAAUCUUCGGCAAUAGACGAAAGUCUGACCGAGCAACGCCGCGUGAGUGAAGAAGGUUUUCGGAUCGUAAAACUCUGUUGGUAGAGAAGAACGUUGGUGAGAGUGGAAAGCUCAUCAAGUGACGGUAACUACCCAGAAAGGGACGGCUAACUACGUG
rnacentral:rRNA from 1 species